GGAAUAUUCGUCAAUGGGGGAAACCCUGAACGAGCAAUGCCGCGUGAGUGAUGACGGUCUUUAUGAUUGUAAAACUCUGUUGUAAGGAACGAACCCUUAAGAUAGGAAAUGAUCUUAAGCUGACUGUACCUUACCAGAAAGCCCCGGCUAACUACGUGCCAGCAGCCGCGGUAAUACGUAGGGGGCGAGCGUUAUCCGGAUUUAUUGGGCGUAAAGUGUGCGUAGGCGGUUUAUUAAGUCUAAGAUUAAAGCCCGAGGCUUAACCUCGGUUCGUUUUAGAAACUGGUAGACUUGAGUGUGGUAGAGGCAAGUGGAAUUUCUAGUGUAGCGGUUAAAUGCGCAGAUAUUAGAAGGAACACCAGUGGCGAAGGCGGCUUGCUGGGCCAUUACUGACGCUGAGGCACGAAAGCGUGGGGAGCAAAUA
rnacentral:rRNA from 1 species